UUGUGGUAUUCGAUGUCGAGUCGUCGGUGAAGCUCCGCUCUGAUUGUGACACGGGAAGGGGGUUUUAUAUGUAUAUAGAGUCUCCUUAUCUAGGUUGUUUUGUAUAGCUAAUAAAUACAUUAGUUGAUUCAACAUUUGUAUAAACAAGUAUUUUUACUAAUCAACUACAUUAGUAUUAUUUUGAUUGAAGAAUGUAAUACUCGAACCACAACUUUUAUAAUAACAAACUUUGAUUUUCCGCCGCGUAUUUUGAAAAAGAUUUGUAAUGGUAGAAUUUUAUUAAAUAAUGGGUUUGGGUGUUACA
rnacentral:lncRNA from 1 species